rnacentral:rRNA from 1 species
GACGAACGCUGGCGGCGUGCUUAACACAUGCAAGUCGAACGGUAAGGCCCUUUCGGGGGUACACGAGUGGCGAACGGGUGAGUAACACGUGGGUGAUCUGCCCAGCACUUUGGGAUAAGCCUGGGAAACUGGGUCUAAUACCGGAUAGGACUACGCGAUGCAUGUCGUGUGGUGGAAAGCUUUUGCGGUGUGGGAUGGGCCCGCGGCCUAUCAGCUUGUUGGUGGGGUGAUGGCCUACCAAGGCGACGACGGGUAGCCGGCCUGAGAGGGUGUCCGGCCACACUGGGACUGAGAUACGGCCCAGACUCCUACGGGAGGCAGCAGUGGGGAAUAUUGCACAAUGGGCGCAAGCCUGAUGCAGCGACGCCGCGUGGGGGAUGACGGCCUUCGGGUUGUAAACCCCUUUCAGCACAGACGAAGCGUAAGUGACGGUAUGUGCAGAAGAAGCACCGGCCAACUACGUG